rnacentral:rRNA from 1 species
AACGCGAAGAACCUUACCUGGGUUGGAACCCCCCGGAACCUUCCAGAGAUGGAGGGGUGCCCGCAAGGGAAUCGGGUGUCCAGGUGCUGCAUGGCUGUCGUCAGCUCGUGUCGUGAGAUGUUGGGUUAAGUCCCGCAACGAGCGCAACCCUUGUCGUUAGUUGCCAGCGGUUCGGCCGGGCACUCUAACGAGACUGCUGGUGUUAAACCGGAGGAAGGUGGGGAUGACGUCAAGUCCUCAUGGCCCUUAUGCCCAGGGCUACACACGUGCUACAAUGACCGGUACAAAGGGUUGCAAACCCGUGAGGGUAAGCCAAUCCCAAAAAACCGGCCUCAGUUCAGAUUGAAGUCUGCAACUCGACUUCAUGAAGUCGGAAUCGCUAGUAAUCCCUGAUCAGCAGGCAGGGGUGAAUACGUUCCCGGGCCUUGUACACACCG